AUACGGAGGGUGCAAGCGUUGUCCGGAUUUAUUGGGUUUAAAGGGUGCGUAGGCGGAUUAUUAAGUCAGUGGUGAAAUCCAACAGCUCAACUGUUGAACUGCCAUUGAAGCUGAUAGUCUUGAGUAUCGUUGAGGUAGGCGGAAUUUAUGAUGUAGCGGUGAAAUGCAUAGAUAUCAUAAAGAACACCAAUAGCGUAAGCAGCUUACUAAACGAUAACUGACGCUGAGGCACGAAAGCAUGGGUAGCGAACAGGAUUAGAAACCCUAGUAGUCC
rnacentral:rRNA from 1 species